AGAUUACAAGACAGGAGAGCAGAUUUCGCUAAGGCAUCCGCCUGAGCAUUGUCCACCCUCGAAACAAAGUGAAAGGAAAUAGAUUCAAAACAACAACUAAGAGAAGAGAUAUCAGCUAGGAUUCCAUCUAGCUCAUUCGCAUGGCCUUCGGAGUUGAGAAGAAUAACAAGUUCUUGACAAUCCGAGAAGCAGGCCAGCCUUGAUACACCCGAAGCAAAGGUUGCGUUGAUUCCGGCCUUCAUUGCAAGUGCCUCAGCCACAAGAGCUGAAGUCACAAAGGGUCUUGAUGACGAUCCUUGGAGGGAAACUGAGUUCAGGGGGUUCUUAACUAACCAUCCCAUUCCACCAAUACGCGUUCCAGCCUGCCAAGCCCCAUCUGAAAAACAGAGGAAAGCCUCAGCAUGAGUCGCUGUCUUUUUCCCCGCACUACUCUGCUGCUUUUUAGGUGGUUGUUGCAGUUUUGCUCCCUACCAUGAUUUCGCCUCUGUAAUCGCCUUUUGCAGAGUUUCUUCUUCUGUGAAACAUCGAUCUUCAAAAAUAAGGAAGUUUCGGGCUUUCUACAGGAACCAAAGAAUCCAGGGAAACAGGGGAGCAGUUCCCAAACCAACUGGUGGAAGAGACAGAGAAGCUCGGGCCUUUUCGAGGAGCUUUUUCACCGAUGGGCAGUCUUCCGAUCUUGGCUUGUGAAGGACUGGCGCAAGAUCCCAUACCUUAGCAGCGUAGCUGCAGCUCAGGAAAAUGUGGACAGCGUCCUCAAGCUGACCGCAUCGCUUACGCGCCGUUUCCGCUACAAUGCCUCUGCUGGACAAAGCAGUCCCGACUGGUAAAGCUUUUCUAGUUGCUUUCCAUAAGAACAUACGUAUCUUCGGGGAGGUGUUUACUUUCCAAAUGUUAGAUUUCCAGUUAA
rnacentral:lncRNA from 1 species